rnacentral:misc_RNA from 1 species
GUGAAUCAUCAAAUUUUUGAACGCAAAUUGCACUCUCUUCGGAGAGUAUGCCUGUUUGAGGGUCAGCCUAAAAAAAAAUUGACGUUGUUGUUGUUUUGCGGUGAUCUUUGUUGGAAAUUUGGUUAUUUUUAACCUUUGGGUUUUUUAAGUGGCUUAAAAUUUUUUUUACGGUUUCACGAACGUUUUUAAGUUUUUUCUUUCUAUCCACGUUUUAGGUUUCGAUCUUUAUUUAAUCUUGCCUU